GACGCUGGCGGCGUGCCUAACACAUGCAAGUCGAGCGGGGAGGAGGAAGCUUGCUUCCGAAUCCUAGCGGCGGACGGGUGAGUAACGCGUGAGCAACCUGCCUCAAACAGGGGGAUAACGCAUCGAAAGAUGUGCUAAUACCGCGUAAGACCACAGCACCGCAUGGUGCGGGGGUCAAAGGAGCAAUCCGGUUUGAGAUGGGCUCGCGUCCGAUUAGCUAGUUGGUGAGAUAACAGCCCACCAAGGCAACGAUCGGUAGCCGACCUGAGAGGGUGAUCGGCCACAUUGGAACUGAGAAACGGUCCAGACUCCUACGGGAGGCAGCAGUGGGGAAUAUUGGGCAAUGGGCGAAAGCCUGACCCAGCAACGCCGCGUGAGGGAAGAAGGGUUUCGGCUCGUAAACCUCUGUCCUAUGGGACGAAGAAGUGACGGUACCAUAGGAGGAAGCCCCGGCUAACUACGUG
rnacentral:rRNA from 1 species